rnacentral:rRNA from 1 species
CCUACGGGUGACAGCAGUGAGGAAUAUUGGUCAAUGGCCGAGAGGCUGAACCAGCCAAGUCGCGUGAGGGAAGAAUGUCCUAUGGAUUGUAAACCUCUUUUGUCAGGGAGCAAAGUCACCCACGUGUGGGUGUUCGAGAGUACCUGAAGAAAAAGCAUCGGCUAACUCCGUGCCAGCAGCCGCGGUAAUACGGAGGAUGCGAGCGUUAUCCGGAUUUAUUGGGUUUAAAGGGUGCGUAGGCGGGUUAUCAAGUCAGUGGUAAAAUCGUGGAGCUCAACUCCAGCCAGCCGUUGAAACUGAUGGUCUUGAGAUGGCGAGAAGUAUGCGGAAUGCGUGGUGUAGCGGUGAAAUGCAUAGAUAUCGCGCAGAACUCCGAUUGCGAAGGCAGCAUACCGGCGCCCGUCUGACGCUGAAGCACGAAAGCGUGGGUAUCGAACAGGAUUAGAUACCCUAGUAGUC